UUUUUAAGGGCAGGAUGAGCAGUUGGGAUUAGUGUCAGUGGAGCAAAAUGUACAAGUAGUAACUGGUGUCGUGCUGCAAGAUCAGAGUGACCACUGAGAGAAUGGAAUGAGUUUGUGCUGUCUCUAUAAUCCUUUGAAGCCUCUUAGUGCAAGUGCUGUUACACCACAAAUACAGAUGUGUCCUGGCACAGAAGGUAGUUAUGAAUAGAAUGUCACGUUUCUGGGAUGUUUAUCUCCAAUACUGUUUCCUCAUACAAAUCCUGAAAAAAGGAUGAAUGGAAGGGCCUAGAAUUGCACCUUGGCAGAGGGGGAACAUCCCUGGUGGUGCUCCUGGUACUGGAGCUGCUGUGUCAGGGGUCUGACCUCCCCAAGAGCAGGCUGGGGGAGAGUCUGGGCCUGUGAAUGGUGGGUCAUUUUAAAGAGUUAUUUGAUUUUUUUCCUCCCUCCAAACCUCCGCUCAGACACAUGUUUUUUGCUACAUCAUUAUUUUGAUACCCGGUGGUUUGUUCUGCUGGUUGUGGGUUGUUUGCCAAGGGCCUUGGAGCAGCAGAGCUCAGGAAUGCAGCCUGUAAGCUGAAGAGUGUCACUGAAACCUGCUUUUUCAGAGCCAAGUACCACAGGUGAAAUCAUUGUGACCAGCAGAUUGAGGCAGGUUCCUCUGAGGAGAAAAAACAGAGCAAGGGCCUGGAGGAGUUGUCAGCUGAGUGGGCUCUGCUGUGUAGGAAGCAGGAACACCUCACCAUGGAGGCCCUGCUGGAACCAGAACUGUCCAUGAUCCAGGAAUGAUGGCCAUGGAAGGGGUAUUUCACUGGGAACAGCCCACAGUGAGAUGCAGAGAGACAUGGAGAACUUCACCCCUGGCUUGUGCAAAGUGUUUAAAAGUCACUGAGUUUCCUUUUUUCCAGUUUCUUCUGUGACUUUAGGAAGUGAGGACAUUCCCUUCCUGCAGAGGCAGCAAGUGCA